UCUGUAUGUGAUCCAGUGAGCAUAUAGUUCAUUGCAUAUCUAGUACUGUAUUAUCUGUUUGUCCCAUAUGAGCUUUUCAUUUCCCUCCCAUUCCCUAGUACCAAUUACCAGUAAUAACAUGUUGAGAGAGAGAGAGAGAGAGGGAGAGAGAGAGUGUGUCUUAAUUUCAAGUUUCCUUUUUGGAUUAUCUUGGAAACAACUGUGCCGAAGUUCCGUUUCUUUGAAGUCUCCUUCAUAAAAGAAUCAGCCUUUCAAUUGUAUAUGCCAUACACCAACCAGUACAAUUCCUCUUAUAUGAAGGCCAGGUUAUAUAUGUGCGUGUGUGUGUGUGUGUGUAGGAUUUGAGAAGUUGGAGUAGAACAAUAGAAGGCAUAACUGGGGUUCUAGUUGCGAGAGACCAGACCUCGGCAACAAUAGACAUAUAAUUUGAAGCAUGAAAGGCAAGAGAAAAGGUGUACAGGAACUUCUGUCGAAGGAGAGAUGGCGCCUUAUGCAGCGGCAGAAGCCAUUUUGAACAGGAGGCUCCAUCUCCCCUCGACUGAAGCUCCUAAUUAAGUUUCUUCCUCGUGCACUUGAUUAUGAAUCCAUGCAGCUUCUAUUAAGAGGUACGCAGUUCCAUAUUGCAUUAAUUGAUUUUCAAAUGAUCUUUUUCUAGCUUCUAUUGAUCUGAAAAGCGUGUAUGUGUGUGUAUCCUUUUUUUUUUUUUGGGUCAUUGAUUCCCAUGGCAUGCUAGAAAAGUAUAAACCGAUCUGGGAAUCAGGGAAAUUGCAAUCUCAGCAUUUCCAAGAGUUACACGAGGUCUACACAUACCAGACAGGGAAUAGCUAGCUAGCAGGUUAAGUUCUAUGGUAUAUGAUCAUGUUCUUGUUGGUACUAUAUAUUAUUUAACCUUUUCAUCAAUCACCAUUAGCUAUCAUAUAUAUCCUUGUCAAUACCGUGGAUACAGCUAUAUAUAAGUACUGACCAUCAAGCAUGCAUGAAAGGUGAUGAGAUCAAGCAGGAAUUUCAUAUAAGAAGACAAAAUGAGGGUAUGCCAGCAUGAAAGGUACCUCCUCUUUUUCUUUCAGACACGGAAUCUUUGGUCAUCUCAUCUUCUGAUCGUACAAGACCUUAAUUAAAGCCCAGGGUCGAUAUGUACCCUCAAAAUUAGGUUCAUCAAUCUCCAAGACUUUUGAGUACAAAGAUAAAUUUGGGGACCCUAAAUUAGCACUAUGAUAACAAGGUUUGCAUAGGUAAGCACCAAAAUAGCUCAUUUCCCCCUAUAUUUUUCACCAUGAGAAGUUGAAAAUUGGAAGUGAAGGGAAUGGCAAAGCUCAAGGAAGUUGGGCAAAAUUGUGUUCCUCAGUUCUUUCAAGAACCUAAUUCAAUUAAAAAGCCAAUUAACCACAUUAAACAUGCGUGUGGGGAUGGACUCUUUAAUUAAAGAAAUUUAAUUCUGUAGUUAUUUUGUAGACAGCUAGGCCUCCAAAUUAAAUGAGCUUUAAGUCACUUCCAGGCCGGAUUCGAUACCCAAUAAUUUGUGUAGAGAUAUAUAGAGAUCAGACCCAUCUUUUUCUCUCUAUAUAAAAGGUGUACAACGCAAAGAAACCGAGCAGCGGGACUGGAAGAAACAAAUUAAAGUCGCAAGGUUUGGGGGUUUCUUGUCGCGAGAGCGAUGGCACUGGCUAUGGUAUUGCAAGGUACAUGAUGCAUGCAGCAAGUGCCAUUGUUCUGGGACAAGACACCCCUUCAAGUACUUCUUCUGCCUCCAGCUUUCUUUCUUUCUUUUCUUUCUUUUUUUAUUUCAAUUAAUGAUCUAUAUAUAAUCAAGGGUACGAAACUCCAAGAAUUUUUUUCAUCUUGAAAAUGUAUUCUCUUUGUUUCUUGUUCCUGUUCUUCUGCUUCUUCUUUCAGGUGCGCCAUUUUCUCUUUCCUUGCCAUUUUGAUCAUACCAAGUGCCUUUGUGCAGGUAUAUAUGCAGACUGCAGUCCGUGCUCUGCUAUGUGGGGUAGAUGUUCUUCUGCUUUUUUGGAAUGUGUGGUGUUGUAAUAUUGUUUGGUGCUUCUCCAAAAUUGAAUAUUUGGAAUUGGUAAAUUGUAUUAUACUGUAUCUGGGUGCAUGCAGUUCAUGUAGUACUGUGGGUGGGAUGAAACAAUGAUCAUUAUGGUUUAAUUCCUAGUUUCUGCA